GGAGUUGGCCAGGUUAUCGCUGUCGGUCUGUCACGCAAGUGGCAGUAAGGCCGGUGGAGGAAAGUCCGGGCUCCAUUGGACAAGACGCCAGGUAACCCCUGGGGGGCGCGAGCCUACGGAAAGUGCAGCAGAGAGUAAACCGCCUAAGCGCAUAAUUGUCGAUUGGCAAUGAUGCGACGGUAAGGGUGAAAGGGUGCGGUAAGAGCGCACCGCGUCGGUGGCAACAUUCGACGGCAUGGUAAACCCCGUCUGGAGCAAGACCAAAUAGAGGGACAUUAGGCGUGGUCCGCGUCGUCCCCGGGUAGGUCGCUUGAGCGUCAUGGUGACAUGGCGCCUAGAUGAAUGAUAAUCCUAGACAGAACCCGGCUUACGGCCAACUCCCACU
rnacentral:RNase_P_RNA from 1 species